ACUGGGCGUGGUGGCAUGCACAUGUAGUCUCAGCUACUCAGGAGGUUGACAGGGGAGGAUCUUUUGAGCCCCAGUGUUCUGGGCAGUAGUGCACUAUGAUAGUCAGGUGUCCACACUAAGUUCAGUGUCAGUAUGGUGACUGGGAGCAAGGGACCACCAGGUUGCCUAAGGAGGGGUGAACCCCUGGCCCAGAUCAGAAAUGGAGCAGAUCGAAACUCCUAUGAUGAUCAGUAGCAGGACUGCACCUGUGAAUAGCCACCACAUUCCUGCCUAGGCAACAUAGCAAGAACCCGUCUU
ensembl:misc_RNA Metazoa_SRP Metazoan signal recognition particle RNA